rnacentral:misc_RNA from 1 species
AACCAUAGAAACCUGCGGAGUACCUGCGGAGGGAUCAUUAACCGUUACAAACAGUGUGUGAUGCGGCCGCCGAGGUGAAUAGCCUCUGGUUGGUAUGGGGUUCGCCCCUUCACGCUCACGCGUCUGCCAUCCUUACUUUACGAGCACCUUCUGUUCUCCCUCGGCAAGGGCCUCGCCCUGCCAUUGGAACUACAAAACUCUUUUUUGCAUCUAGCAUUACCUGUUCCGACAAAAACAAUC